UACAGAGGGUGCAAGCGUUGUUCGGAAUUACUGGGCGUAAAGCGCGCGCAGGCGGAUCCUGUAAGUCGGAAGUGAAAUCCCCGGGCUCAACCUGGGACUUGCAGUUGAAACUGGUGAGCUAGAGUAGGGUAGAGGGGUGUGGAAUUCCAGGUGUAGCGGUGAAAUGCGUAGAUAUCAGGAAGAACACCGUGGCUAAGGCGGCUCUCUAGUACGGUACUGACGCUGAGACGCGAAAGCGUGGGGAGCGAACAGG
rnacentral:rRNA from 1 species